rnacentral:tRNA from 1 species
GCGGUGACGUCGGCGACGGCCAGGCCGUCGUCAUUGGCGAUGGUGACGCUGCCGCGCGCGUCGGCGAUCUCGGCGCCGGUCGCGGCG